GACGAACGCUGGCGGCGUGCCUAAUACAUGCAAGUCGAGCGGAUCUUGUCCUUCGGGAUAAGGUUAGCGGCGGACGGGUGAGUAACACGUGGGUAACCUGCCCAUAAGACUGGGAUAACAUUCGGAAACGAAUGCUAAUACCGGAUACGCGAAUUGGUCGCAUGGCCGAAUCGGGAAAGGCGGAGCAAUCUGCCACUUAUGGAUGGACCCGCGGCGCAUUAGCUAGUUGGUGAGGUAACGGCUCACCAAGGCGACGAUGCGUAGCCGACCUGGGAGGGUGAUCGGCCACACUGGGACGGAGACACGGCCCAGACUCCUACGGGAGGCAGCAGUGGGGAAUCUUCCGCAAUGGACGAAAGUCUGACGGAGCAACGCCGCGUGAGUGAAGAAGGUUUUCGGAUCGUAAAACUCUGUUUUCAGGGACGAAUGUGUGGAUUGUAAAUAAUGAUUCAUAAUGACGGUACCUGACAAGAAAGCCACGGCUAACUACGUGCCAGCCGCCGCUGUAACAC
rnacentral:rRNA from 1 species